rnacentral:rRNA from 1 species
GAUGAACGCUAGCGGCAGGCUUAAUACAUGCAAGUCGAACGGUAACAGGUGUAGCAAUACAUGCUGACGAGUGGCAGACGGGUGAGGAACACGUACACAACCUCCCUCUUACUGGGGCACAACUCCGAGAAAUCGGGGCUAAUUCCCCAUAAUAUUUCGAAAGGGCAUCCGAUUGAAAUUAAAACUCCGGUGGUAAGAGAUGGGUGUGCGUCUGAUUAGCUAGUUGGUAGGGUAACGGCCUACCAAGGCAACGAUCAGUAACUGGUGUGAGAGCACGACCAGUCACACGGGCACUGAGAUACGGGCCCGACUCCUACGGGAGGCAGCAGUAAGGAAUAUUGGUCAAUGGACGCAAGUCUGAACCAGCCAUGCCGCGUGCAGGAUGAAGGCCCUCUGGGUUGUAAACUGCUUUUAUCUGGGAAGAAAUCCCCGAUUUCUAUCGGGGUUGACGGUACCAGAGGAAUAAGCACCGGCUAACUCCGUGCCAGCAGCCGCGGUAAUACGGAGGGUGCAAGCGUUAUCCGGAUUUACUGGGUUUAAAGGGUGCGUAGGCGGGCCUUUAAGUCAGUGGUGAAAUCUCCCGGCUUAACCGGGAAACUNNNAUUGAUACU